CCUACGGGAGGCAGCAGUGGGGAAUAUUGGACAAUGGGGGGAACCCUGAUCCAGCGACGCCGCGUGAGUGAAGAAGUAUUUCGGUAUGUAAAGCUCUAUCAGCAGGGAAGAAAGAAAUGACGGUACCUGACUAAGAAGCCCCGGCUAACUACGUGCCAGCAGCCGCGGUAAUACGUAGGGGGCAAGCGUUAUCCGGAUUUACUGGGUGUAAAGGGAGCGUAGACGGCGAUGCAAGUCUGAAGUGAAAGGGCGGGGCCCAACCCCCGGACUGCUUUGGAAACUGUAUGGCUGGAGUGCAGGGGAGGUAAGUGGAAUUCCUAGUGUAGCGGUGAAAUGCGUAGAUAUUAGGAGGAACACCAGUGGCGAAGGCGGCUUACUGGACUGUAACUGACGUUGAGGCUCGAAAGCGUGGGGAGCAAACAGGAUUAGAUACCCCAGUAGUC
rnacentral:rRNA from 1 species